AAAAAAUAGGCGAUUCGAAUCCCCGUUCUUCUGAUUUCCUCUUGUCUGCUUUCUUGCUCAUGCCAAUGCCUAACAAAACAGUUAAGAAAUCUGCAUGGGAUUCUGUACCAAGAACAUCGGCUUCUCAUGUCGAUCUUCCGUUCGGCCAAUUGGACAGCGUCAUCUUCGUUUAGUUUACUAUUCAACGUCCCCCAAUCCCUAGUUGUACAGGUACAGCCCAGAAGCUUCCUCUUUCAUAUUGAUGAA
rnacentral:lncRNA from 1 species